rnacentral:rRNA from 2 species
AUGCAGUGUACCCGCGGCAAGACGGAAAGACCCCGUGAACCUUUACUAUAGCUUGACACUGAACAUUGAGCCUUGAUGUGUAGGAUAGGUGGGAGGCUUUGAAGCGUGGACGCCAGUCUGCGUGGAGCCGACCUUGAAAUACCACCCUUUAAUGUUUGAUGUUCUAACGUGGACCCGUAAUCCGGGUUGCGGACAGUGUCUGGUGGGUAGUUUGACUGGGGCGGUCUCCUCCUAAAGAGUAACGGAGGAGCACGAAGGUUGGCUAAUCCUGGUCGGACAUCAGGAGGUUAGUGCAAUGGCAUAAGCCAGCUUGACUGCGAGCGUGACGGCGCGAGCAGGUGCGAAAGCAGGUCAUAGUGAUCCGGUGGUUCUGAAUGGAAGGGCCAUCGCUCAACGGAUAAAAGGUACUCCGGGGAUAACAGGCUGAUACCGCCCAAGAGUUCAUAUCGACGGCGGUGUUUGGCACCUCGAUGUCGGCUCAUCACAUCCUGGGGCUGAAGUAGGUCCCAAGGGUAUGGCUGUUCGCCAUUUAAAGUGGUACGCGAGCUGGGUUUAGAACGUCGUGAGACAGUUCGGUCCCUAUCUGCCGUGGGCGCUGGAGAACUGAGGGGGGCUGCUCCUAGUACGAGAGGACCGGAGUGGACGCAUCACUGGUGUUCGGGUUGUCAUGCCAAUGGCACUGCCCGGUAGCUAAAUGCGGAAGAGAUAAGUGCUGAAAGCAUCUAAGCACGAAACUUGCCCCGA